GUGCCAGCAGCCGCGGUAAUACGAAGGGGGCAAGCGUUGCUCGGAAUCACUGGGCGUAAAGGGCGCGUAGGCGGACGUUUAAGUCAGAGGUGAAAGCCCGGGGCUCAACCCCGGAAUUGCCUUUGAUACUGGACGUCUUGAGACCGGAAGAGGUAAGUGGAACUGCGAGUGUAGAGGUGAAAUUCGUAGAUAUUCGCAAGAACACCAGUGGCGAAGGCGGCUUACUGGUCCGGUUCUGACGCUGAGGCGCGAAAGCGUGGGGAGCAAACAGGAUUAGAUACCCUGGUAGUCCACGCCGUAAACGAUGGAUGCUAGCCGUUGGACAGCUUGCUGUUCAGUGGCGCAGUUAACGCGUUAAGCAUCCCGCCUGGGGAGUACGGUCGCAAGAUUAAAACUCAAAGGAAUUGAGCGGGGGCCCGCACAAGCGGU
rnacentral:rRNA from 1 species